rnacentral:tRNA from 1 species
GUGGGUACAGCUCAGUGGUAGAUAGAGCGCGUGCUUAGCAUACGUGAGGUCCUGGGUUCAAUCCCCGGUACCUCCA